CUCACGAUGUAAAUCGAGCCCUCGGGCCCGAAUUGUAGUCUGGAGAGGCGCGGCCUGCCGCUGUCCGCGGCCAAGUCUGAUUGGAAAUGAGCAUCAGGGAGGGUGACAAUCCCGUUCAUGCCGCGGUAUCGAUCAGCGUGCGUAAGGCCCGUUUUCGACGAGUCGAGUUGCUUGGGAUUGCAGCUCAAAUCGGGUGGUAAACUCCAUCCAAAGCUAAACACGGGGGGGAGACCGAUAGCGAACAAGUACCGUGAGGGAAAGAUGCAAAGAACUUUGAAAAGAGAGUUAAAGAGUGCCUGAAAUUGCUGGAAGGGAAGCGAAGGAAAGAGGUGUGCGGACGCCUGAGCGCCAACCCCCAUUUGUUUUCGCCUCGUGGUGUGGGGGUAGGCCGGUCCGCCGCUGUCAGUGGAUGCGCCGGGCUCGCGGGAGGAUCCGUGCGGGAUCGGUAGCCCUCCCCGUCCUUUACGGGAGGGGGAGGGUGUCAGGCCCGCGCAGGAGGCGCCGCGAGU
rnacentral:rRNA from 1 species